rfam:Firmicutes bacterium CAG:882 genomic scaffold, scf373
UUUGGGAGAAGCUUAGUUGUUCUUAAGACUCUGUUUACUACACAGCCACAGACGGCAUGGAUGCCGGCUGAGCUGCAAACAGCCAUGAAUGGCUGAUUUUGCAGCGAUGGCGGAAGCAGAAAGACAUUUUCCGGAGUCAUUAGAACAACUUGCUUCGUACAAC